AGCAGCCGCGGUAAUUCCAGCUCCAAUAGCGUAUAUUAAAGUUGUUGCAGUUAAAAAGCUCGUAGUUGAAUUUCGGGGUCAGUAGAUUGGUCGUGCCACUGGUAUGUACUGGUCUCACUGGCUCCUCCUUCCUGAUGAACCGUAAUGCCAUUAAUUUGGUGUUGCGGGGAGACUGGACUGUUGCUUUGAAAAAAUUAGAGUGUUUAAAGCAGGCUCACGCUUGAAUACAUUAGCAUGGAAUAAUGAAAUAGGACAUCCGAUUCUAUUUUGUUGGUUUCUAGGAUCGAUGUAAUGAUUAAUAGGGAUAGUUGGGGGCAUUAGUAUUCAAUUGUCAGAGGUGAAAUUCUUGGAUUUAU
rnacentral:rRNA from 1 species